UACGAAGGGGGCUAGCGUUGCUCGGAAUCACUGGGCGUAAAGGGUGCGUAGGCGGGUCUUUAAGUCAGGGGUGAAAUCCUGCGGCUCAACCGCAGACGGUCGUGGGAAACUGGAUGGCUAGAGUGCGGGAGAGGAGAGUGGAAUUCCCGGUGUAGCGGUGAAAUGCGCAGAUAUCGGGAAGAACACCCGUGGCGAAGGCGGCUCUCUGGAACGCAACUGACGCUGAGACGCGAAAGCGUGGGGAGCAAACAGG
rnacentral:rRNA from 1 species